AAUCAGCCCUGCAGAGAGCGUUCUCUUCUUCAACAGACCAAGUAGUCCUGGCUGCUUUUACUGUCUUUAUCCUUCGAAUUGUGCGGAGUGACACCAGAGACAGAGAUCAGACCUCUCCGCUCAGCCUGGCAUUGCAGCUUGACUCAGCUCUUAUGCAGGCUGCCUCCGUUCUGAAUCAUCGUGGUGUUGCGUUGGACCGUUGUGGUGAGGAGGAAGAAGAAGCUGAUCCAUCAGAUUGACCUGUAUCUGUCUGUAUUCUAACUCUCCUGAAGCUUCUUCUGUAAGUCUGCUGGGCUCAACCUAAAGGUCAAUUUAUGC